GAAACGCGAUAGUUAAUGUGAAUUGCAGAAUUCAGUGAAUCAUCGAGUCUUUGAACGCACAUUGCGCCCAUAGGUAUUCCUUUGGGCAUGUCUGUUUGAGCGUCAUUACAUCCCUCAGCUAACCGCUGGUUUUGAACCUGAACGGGUGACACCGCGCCGGUUUUAAAGUUGUAAGCUCUGCUGGCCGCUCUGCCCAACCAGAACAUAGUAAGCACUACUUGUCCGGGUGAAGCUGAACGGUACGGCCUGAACAAAACCUACCCACUCUCAAGGUUUGACCUCAGAUCAGACAAGGAUACCCGCUGAACUUAAGC
rnacentral:misc_RNA from 1 species